UAUAGGAUCCGAUUGAAAUCACAAUCAUGGCGCUCUGUAUUUCAUGUUCUUCUGUUAAAUAAAUGAAGAUUCCCGAUACUAUCAGUGUAGUGAAAUGGGCCCUGAAAUCAUUUCUAUUAUUCAAAAUGCCAUAGGCCAAAAGGUCCGGAGUCGUACUCAUAACCUAACAGACUAUGCCAGGCAGUUUAAUGGAGAAAAUAUUUCACCACAAGUAAAUUGCACCCGAAGAUGGCUUAGUGUGCUGUGAGUGUUGAGUAAGAGCUACACGAUCUCUUCCGCAGCAAGAAGUUGAAGCUUACAGGAAAGCAGAGAAUCCUCGACAAUUAAUACUUGUGUAUGGUGCUUAGGCUCUCUUGUUGAGACCAGAAGGCAUUCAUUGCCCGAGGGACCGGAACUGGAUGAAAUAAUUGCAAGAUUUUUCCUAGAGAUUCCAUGUGGCUGGUGGCCAUGUAUGUUAUGCGUGCUGGGUUUCAGCAUGUAAAAAUGUGCAACGAGCCCGGAACUCCUCUCUGAAGGCAAAGUUGUGCCAUAACUACUGGGCCAGCAAGAAUUAGCAACCAGGCCCUGUGUACUCAUACAAUCACCAUUGUUUGGUACUUGUUGGGCUCGGCUAGUAUCCUGCUAUUGCUGCACCGGCCUCAUUUUUCGAAUAUUUUAAUAAGGGAAGAUGAUGAUUGAA